rnacentral:tRNA from 3 species
GGAUCUAUAGCUCAGUUUGGUAGAGCAUCCGGCUCAUAACCGGCGGGUCCUAGGUUCAAAUCCUAGUAGAUCCACCA